rnacentral:rRNA from 1 species
AGAGUUUGAUCCUGGCUCAGAACGAACGCUGGCGGCGUGCGGCUAACACAUGCAAGUCGAACGGAAGUAGCAAUACUUUAGUGGCGCACGGGUGAGUAAUACAUGGGUAAUCUGCCCUCGAGGAUUGGGAUAGCUACGCGAAAGUGUAGGUAAUACCGGAUAAGCUGCAGUCAUACUUUGAUUGCAGGAAUGGCUAGCCGCAAGGCCGGCGCCUUAGGAUGAGCUCAUGUCCUAUUAGCUAGUUGGCGGGGUAACGGCCCACCAAGGCGAAGAUGGGUAACUGGUCUGAGAGGACGAUCAGUCACACUGGAACUGAGACACGGUCCAGACUCCUACGGGAGGCAGCAGUGGGGAAUAUUGCACAAUGGGGGAAACCCUGAUGCAGCAACGCCGCGUGAGUGAUGAAGGCCUUCGGGUUGUAAAGCUCUUUCGGCCGGGAAGAAGGGUGUUGGUGGUAAUAUCGCCAACAUUUGAUGGUACGGAAGAAGAAGACGCACCGGCUAACUUCGUGCCAGCAGCCGCGGUAAUAC